rnacentral:lncRNA from 10 species
UUGAGGUUGAGAUAUAAAUGUUGGGUUAAUUCCAUUGCAUUUCACAAAAUGCAUUUAUAAAACAAGCUGGCUCUGGGCACGUAAUGGAUUUAUGUAAAGCGUAUUUGUGAAACACAGAUUCUAUUAGAUUGAGUCCUUUUGGCAAAAGGUCUGUAGCGUAUCUGUCUCCUCGGCAGAGUUCCAACACACCCAGGUACUCACUGCUUGUUAACUGAGACAUGAGGAAUGAAGCCUGAGGGAAGGAAGGAUUUUCCUUAGCACCGGGGACAAUGUCCUUAGAUUGUUACUGCCAACCAAGUUGCAUUCAUUUGUCAUUUAAGUGUCUACUUUCCUUGGCUCCAUCUCUU